CAGGUAAAGCAGGUGUUCGCGGCUGACAGGCCGAAAGGCGUCAGGUGAGGAAAGUCCGGGCUCCGCAGGGCAGGACGCCGGAUAACGUCCGGUAGAGGCGACUCUAAGGAAAGUGCAACAGAAAUGUACCGCCAGGAAGCUGGUAAGGGUGGAAGGGCAGUGUAAGAGACUACCGCCCGCCUGGUAACAGGCGGGGCACAUGUAAACCCCGUCCGGAGCAAGACCGAAACGAGACAUAAGCCGGCCCGGCUGUCUCAGGUAGGUUGCUUGAUUCUGCCGGCGACGGCAGAGCUAGAUAGAUGAACACCCACGACAUAACCCGGCUUAUCGCUUUGCCUGUGUA
rfam:Lachnoclostridium sp. An131 An131_contig_19, whole genome shotgun sequence.